rnacentral:lncRNA from 1 species
CUGAACAAAUUUAAUCACAAUUAACAAACAAACUAGCACAAUUAUCAAACAAUAAAACAAAUAAGCAAUGAAGCAAGUAGAUCAGUGAUUCAGUAUUUCAAAUUUUUGGUGAAUUAUGAAUGUACCAACCAAAAGUUUAAGACUGAACUGUUAAACUCCAAGAGGUAGAACCCAGUAGCCGUGCGGCACCAGCGGCAGCAAGACAAAAGCUAAACUUCUGAAGACUAAAAAGUGAAGAGGAUCGCAAUAAUUCGCAGAUUCGCAGAAGAAGAAGGCAGAACCAGAAGAGAAACACAAUUACGCAAAAGAGGAAGAAGAAGGCAGAACCAGAGCACCAGACAACCAGUGAAGCAGAAAAAAACGCAGAACCAAAUGCCGAAGGAACACAACGACAGAACCACACAACCAGUGAGACAGUCACGCGGAAGAAGAAGGCAGCCGUAGAACCAGACGCGGGUACGCAGCUAUGCAAGGAGAGACUAAUGGAGCCACGCAGGAAAAACGCUAAAUGCCUGAACAGGACGUCGACGUCAACGGCAGUGAGCCAGUGACACUGGCGGAGUGGCAACAGUAACUCUGGAGGACUGGAGUGGAGCUGUGGAGGGCGG